rnacentral:rRNA from 1 species
CAUGCAAGUCGAGCGGUCAAAAUGAGGGGGCUUGCCCCUGAAAGACGAGCGGCGGACGGGUGAGUAAUGCGCGGGAACGCGCCCUUUGGAGGGGGACAACCUUGGGAAACCAGGGCUAAUACCGCAUAACCUCCACGGAGCAAAGCGGGGGAUUUCUUCGGAAACCUCGCGCCAAAGGAGCGGCCCGCGUCCGAUUAGUUUGACGGCGGGGUAACAGCCCACCGUGACUACCAUCGGUAGCUGGUCUGAGAGGAUGAUCAGCCACACCGGGACUGAGACACGGCCCGGACUCCUACGGGAGGCAGCAGUGGGGAAUAUUGGACAAUGGGGGCAACCCUGAUCCAGCGAUGCCGCGUGUGUGAAGAAGGCCUUCGGGUUGUAAAGCACUUUCGCAGGGGAAGAAACGGUGCGCUCUAACAUAGCGCGCAACUGACGGUACCCUGAAAAGAAGCGCCGGCCAAUUCCGUGCCAGCAGCCGCGGUAAUACGGAAGGCGCAAGCGUUAAUCGGAAUGACUGGGCGUAAAGCGUGCGCAGGCGGCCGCGCAAGUCGGAUGUGAAAGCCCCGGGCUCAACCCGGGAAUGGCGUUCGAAACUGCGCG